GGUCGAAGUGCAAAGAUAUUCAUCUGGCCUUGUUCAUAUGAAAGUAAAAACAAUGGAAUUCCAGAGUUUCUGCUGAGUGGGGUCAGGCAACACCUCUCCCACCUUAAAUGCACCUGCAUCCAGUUUAAGAGGCUAAACACAAGGCUAAUUGAAGAGCUGAAGAGCCUCUUGGGAUAAAAUACUUAAAACCAUUUCUCUUUUUUUUUUUUUUUUGAGGUUGAGAUAUAGGCAUGCAUGUCUGGUGAAUGUGGCUCUGGUGUCUCUUGGGAUAAAAUACUUAAAACCAUUUCUCUUUUUUUUUUUUUUUUUUUUGAGGUUGAGAUAUAGGCAUGCAUGUCUGGUGAAUGUGGCUCUGGUGUAAACCAGAUGGGGGUAAUCCUAAGGUGAAUUUCAUCAGAAAGGAGAAAGUAAGCCCCUCCCUUAGCAACAGGACCUCAUCAAUAGAAGGAAGCAAUGGUUCCAAAUACAAAGUGUUAGCUGAUACCAGCACUUGAAUUAACCCCUCUACUAGAGAGGCCAACUAUUCAGAUUUGCCUAGGAUUGAGGAGUUUCCUGGGCCAUGGGACUUACAGUGCUAAAACCAGAAAAGUCCCAGCAAACUGGUCAUUCUGCCCUCUACUAGGGAGAUGUGGGUGGUCACUCAAAUAAAGUAGUUAAGUGAGAACUAUAGAGUGUAUAACAACAGUGGACACACUGGGCAGCAGGCAAGCUCACUGUGGGAUCCUAGCUGAGCAUAAUGAAGACAUCUUUUCCUUUUCACCUCAUAGGGCUUAUCAUAGCAGAAGAGAUUGGCAAUUUUGAAACGCAUUAGUGGACACGUUUGGAAUGGUGGAUUUUCAGAACAUGGUGAUGAGGUCAGUAGCACAGCAACAGGGGCACAGUGACCGACCAGAGCACGUCCUAUGGAACUGUCAGGCUUGGGGAUGCAUUGCCUUGGUUCAGCUGGCCAGAGAAGCAAGCAACAGGAGUGAUCCACGGACACAUAGCCAAUUUUGCUUGAAUUUGAUGACUCCAAUCCUCAGGGAAUGCAAUAGUUUGUUCCAUGCCACUGGAAAAAAAGGAGGCAGUUUUAUUAUUCCUUGUUGGUGAUUUGGUCAAGGUGUAGGUAUGUGACCCAGUCUGCUGGGGGAUUUCUGGAAAAGAUUUUCUUCCAGAUAAAACUUAGAGCUGAAGAUAAAACAAAGCUUUCUCUUGCCCCCUUUCAUUCUUUCAUUUGAAGAUUUUUGUGAGAGGAUUUGAUGCUUGGAUGUGUCAAUCAAUUUACAUCCAUAUGGCAACAAUCUAGAGUAAUAUUGUCAAACACAGAAAGUAAAGAGAGGAGAAUCAGAGAGAGGCUAACCCCUACAUUAAACCACAGAACUAUCCCUGGGCUCACCUACUUUUAAAUUUCCUAUUAAGUGAGAUAAUACACAUUCUCAAUACGUAAGCCACUAUUUUUUCAGGUUUUCUAUGGCUUGCAGCCAAAUACAUCCCACUUGAUGUAUUUUAUCAUGGCUCAGUUUCUCAGAUUUAUCCAACUGCUUUCUUUGUCCCACAAUCAGAAAGAUGAUGUUCUGAGAAUGAAGGCUGCCAUCAGAGGAGGUGGAAUCUCAAUGGCAUAAAAACUACUUCACAAUUUUUUAAAGGAGUAGCAUUGUGUAGCCAUAAUCCUAGGCAGUCAGAACCCUGUAGGCUUUGCCUCGUAAUGUUAGAGUCAUUUAACAGACAACGGCUAUGCAGAAGUUGCAAUGAUAGGGAACUUGAUGGUGAUGUCCCCAGGAGAGCUGUAUUGAUUCUUGAGUGGAAUACCAACUUCUAAUGACCAAAAUCCACAAGAAAAAAAAGCCCUAGCCAAAGAUACUUGAAAUAAUAUAUAUUAAUACGGUUCCAUCAUAAAUAAUACAUACUAUUAAUAUGGUUUUAAAUAAUGUAUAAUGCUAGAUUUGCAUAAUAAAUAAUACAUAAAUAUGUAAUCAGCCCGUGAAGUCAUAUGAAAUUAGUAAUCAUGAAGGAAACAACCUAGUAACAUGCUAUGAGAGGAAAGGAGGCCUUAAUCAGUGCUGCUGUGUCAUCUUGUGGCUAAGAGAAACACCAACCUUGUAUAAAGAAUUUGAUCUAUAUAUUUUACUAGUGAAAAAUAGUAGCUAGUAACAGACUUCAGUUAUAGCUAAUAGACUUCCUUUUGGCCUGUAAAGAUAACAUCACUUUUUAUUAGAAAAAAAUAUCUAAUCUAUCACUGAUUGAAAGGGUAUAGAAGAGUUGUUUCCGAAAAUGGAUGCAACACAAACCAUUAUCAUUGACCCUUUCAAAUCCUUCCAUUUUUUUUUUCAGGAAUUCACUUGUGUUAUCUUAUUUAAUCUGUCUAGUAACCCUAUGUGAUGAACAAUGUUUUUCUCAUUUUCCAGCUCAGGAAAUGAUGGAUGAGGGAGGUUAAGUAGUAAGUUACUUAACUUACCCAAGGUUACACAGCUAGUUGAUGGCAGAGACAGGUACUCAGCUCUUCUGAAACUAAAGCCUAUUGUUUUUCCACUAUAUUACCCUGUCUAUCAUUUUUAAUGUAUCUCUUCUCUGUGGAUUAAGAUCCUGGAUAUUUCAUAAUUCAAAUUUAGCAAACCUUUGAAGAAUCUCUUCUGUGUGCUUGACAUGUUAGACAUCUCAUGUAGGUGACGUCAUUUGUCCCCCACAAUAACCCUAUUGGGUAUUUGUAUCUUCAUGUUAGAGUAGGAAAUAGAGGAUUAGAAAAAUGAAGUGACUUGUCCAAAGCCUCAGAGUGUGAACCAAAAGUUGAGCCCUGUUUCUCCAUACCACACGACACUAAAUCUCUGGUGAAAGGUGAUGAAAUGUGACCCCUUGUUUUAACACCAGGUUCCCAAGGAAUUCUCCAAAGAGCAGACCCAAGGUCCAGGCUCCUUUAGAGUGUUGACUCCUGCCCAGCAAUAUUAAUUACUUUCUUCUGGAAUAAGAAAGGUAAUGUUCUAGGAGUGGAGGUUGCUGCCAAAAGAUUGGUGGGGGUGGGUACCAACUGCAAACUUUCUUCACAGAUUCGUAAAGGGCUGACACUAUGAGCAGCCUCAGUCAAGCCCACUCAAGGUACUUUAACAAACACUCAAAUUCUUGAGUCCCUCAUGUUCAUGUUCCACUCCUCCACAAUAUGUAGUUGGCAAAAAUUCCCUGCUCUUCUGGUAAUAGCAUUCUUGGAAAUUGUGCUUUGAGAUCAGUUCUUCUGGGAAAGACAUAACCUGCUGAAGAAGUACUGAGAAAGGUUGAAACUGUAAAUGUCAAGUCUACUCAGGAGAGUAAAUAUAAACUGCUUGCAUCUUUCUGGCUGACUUAUAGCUUAUCAAGCACACAUUAAACCUUUAAACCCUUUUUUUUCUUAAGUAAGAAUAAAUCUAAGUUGACUAUUCCAGCGUAUGUAUUUGUUUUCCCUACACUGUCUAUAAACCACGUCCAAGGUGAGUAUUUAUAAGCCUGAACAAAAACUAGACAAACAAUUCUGAGAAUAAGUGACAACUGUAACAGUUCAUGAUAAGACAGUCACAACAAAGGAAAUGCUAUGCAUUAAGUGAUUUUUCUUGCAAAUCCUUUAUACAUAUGUCAAGUUGUGUGCUGGCAGAGUGAAAGAAUAAAUCAAAGAGAAUGCCCAUGUAAGAAAGGAUUUUUAGGCAAAUGCUGUCUUGUAUGCAUAAAUCAAAUAGUGAUUGUAAAAAAUUGGAGGAAUAGCAUAGGUUUCUAUGGAAUUUUAAACAAUGAAGUUAUUUAGCAAUUGUACAACAAUUUAUAUUUAUGGAGUAGCUUACAAGUAUUUGCUUGUUAAAUCUUAUGCCAUUUCUGGCAAGUACACCCACACCAUUAGUUAAUUUUAUAGACAAGAUAACUGAAGCAAGGAAUUGUUAAGUAACUUUCCCAAGGUCACAUACCAGGUAUGGGCUGGGCAAGGACUUAACUUUAGAACUCUUGCCUUCACAAUCCCAAGUUGCAGGUCAGGGUAGUGGUGCAGCUGCCUCUUAGCUCUCUCUUCAAUGAGGGACAGGUCUUUGGAGCAUGCCUAGACGUGUGGGGUUGGGUGAUAAAGGCAAAGACUUCUGGCAGUAAAUCUGGAAGUGCCAAUGAUUAGUGUUACCAUUAGCAUUUCAGCUGGACCAUGAACCCCAUCAGCAUGCCUAUGAGAGGCAAACACCCAUCUGUAAUACAGCUUAGAGUGAGAUGAUCAUGACAGCAGAUCUACAGCUGUAGUUCUCAGUUCAGGCUGCAAUACCAGGAGGGGCUUUAAAACCAAUGCCCCAGGAUCAAUUAAAUCCAAAUCUCUGAGACUGGGGCUUGGACAGGGACAUUUUCAAAAAGUUACCCAGGUUUUUCUGACAUGUGGUCAGAGUUGAAAACCACUGGUGUAAAGAUCCUUCCAUGUUUGCUGGAUGUGGUUGGGCAGGUUGUUCAUUGCACAAGGACACCUAACUAAAGAAGCCAGAGAGGACCGAAAUUCAGUCCAUACACAGUGUGCCCUAAUUUGGGGGUAGCAUUUGUUUCAAAAACAUCACUUUUUAUCUGAUUCCCACAAAGAAGGCCCUGGAUCACUCACUCCCUAUUCUUAGAUAUGUAUUGCUGCAUAUGCUAAAAAUUCUAUUUUUAGUUUAUUUAUUAUGCAUUCAUUAAAAUUAUAUUAGCAUCUAUUAUAUGCUGGGCACUGGACACACACUGGGGGUGCAACUACAAAAUGAUCACAGCUCUAGUCUUAUUGAAUCCCCAUUUUUAGGCAGGACAAGUGAUUACACAGGGAGUUACACAACAAUGUGGAAAGUGCUCCAUUGCAGAUGACUACAGGAAGCUGGAGAAGAUCUAGAAAGGGUGCUCCACCCAGCCACUUUGGGGCUAAGCGACCUCAUAGUGGAAGUGGUGUAAAAGCUGAGACUGGAGGAGUCAUUGGCAAGAUAAAAGGAAGAGGUGGCAUUUGAAGCUGAGUGACAGCAUUUGAAGAAACUUGGAGUCAAGAGAAUGUGGGUUAUUGGGGAACUGACAGUGGUUCAGCCUGUCUGCCUGGAGCAUGGAGGGAAUGAAGGUAGCGGGAAGGGGGCUGGGACUCUGCCCAUCUUCCAAGGGUUGGAUUGGCCACUUGCAAGCUUAAUCUCUGUGCCUUGCUCCUCAGUCCUACAACCCUCAUUCCAUCUUACCAUUCUCUUUCCCUCCCUCCCUUCUUCUUUUCAGAUAUGGUUAUUUAUUAAAGCAGAAAACACCUAAAACACCUGUAGUCAACUUCCUAGAAUCUAUAACUCUAAGCACUAGAAAGAAACAAAAAGUUUGGAAGCAAAAAAGGGACAAACAAGCACGAGAUACAGAUACAGAUGCCACCUCUUUACUUGGUGCCAACUGGUACAUCCUCACAAUUGGCACAGAUUCCUCCUUGCCCACUGCUCUCCUUCCUGGAUAUGGCUGAUUUCACUUUCAAAAUUACCAUCUCAAUCCCAGGCCAGUGGGGAUGCAGCAGGGUGGGGAAAUGGGGUGGUAUAAGUGAAACAAGCUUGGUCAUGAGCUAAUAAAAUUAUUGAAGCUGGGUGAUCAAUCCCUCUAUUUCUUAUU
ensembl:lncRNA